rnacentral:rRNA from 1 species
CACGAAGUUAGCCGGGGCUUCUUCUGCGGGUACCGUCAUUAUCUUCCCCGCUGAAAGGGCUUUACAACCCUAGGGCCUUCAUCACCCACGCGGCAUGGCUGGAUCAGGCUUGCGCCCAUUGUCCAAUAUUCCCCACUGCUGCCUCCCGUAGGAGUCUGGGCCGUGUCUCAGUCCCAGUGAGGCUGGUCAUCCUCUCAGACCAGCUACCGAUCGUCGCCUUGGUGAGCCGUUACCUCACCAACUAGCUAAUCGGACGCGGGCCGUUCCUUCGGCAAUAAAUCUUUCCCCGUAAGGGCGUAUCCGGUAUUAGCCCAAGUUUCCCUGGGUUAUCCCGGACCGAAGGGCGCGUUCCCACGUGUUACUCUCCCGUCUGCCGCUGCCGUAUUGCUACGGCCGCUCGACUUGCAUGUGUUAGGCCUGCCGCAGCGUUCGCUCUGAGCCAGGAUCAAACUCU